rnacentral:rRNA from 1 species
UACGUAGGUGGCAAGCGUUGUCCGGAUUUAUUGGGUUUAAAGGGUGCGUAGGCGGCUCUGUAAGUCAGUUGUGAAAUACUUCAGCUUAACUGGAGAGGUGCAAUUGAUACUGUGGAGCUUGAGUACUGAUGAGGUAGGCGGAAUGGACGGUGUAGCGGUGAAAUGCUUAGAUAUCGUCCAGAACACCGAUAGCGAAGGCAGCUUACUAAGGAGUAACUGACGCUGAGGCACGAAAGUGUGGGGAUCAAACAGG